GUGCCAGCCGCCGCGGUAAUACAGAGGUCUCAAGCGUUGUUCGGAUUCAUUGGGCGUAAAGGGUGCGUAGGCGGCGCGGUAAGUCGGGUGUGAAAUCUCGGAGCUUAACUCCGAAACUGCAUUCGAUACUGCCGUGCUUGAGGACUGGAGAGGAGACUGGAAUUUACGGUGUAGCGGUGAAAUGCGUAGAUAUCGUAAGGAAGACCAGUGGCGAAGGCGGGUCUCUGGACAGUUCCUGACGCUGAGGCACGAAGGCCAGGGGAGCA
rnacentral:rRNA from 1 species